rnacentral:rRNA from 1 species
CCCUUAGACACUCUAGGCGGCACGCGCGUUACAAUGGGUGGAAGAACGUGUUACUGCCUCCGAAAGGAGGGGUGAAUCACGAAUUCUUGCCCGUGAAUGGGAUAGUUUGUUGCAAUUUUCGGACUUGAACUAGGAAUCCCUUGUAAACAUGCUCAAGAAUAGCGUGUUGAAUACGUCCCUGCCGUUUGUACACACCGCCCGUCGUUUCUUCCGACUGAUACUCAUUGUGAGUUGCAAGGACCCUUUAUUGGGAAAUUGCUGCAAAUGCUUUGUAUUGGAGGAAGAAAAAGUCGUAACA